AUAGAUACAUGUAUAGUCAUGUCAUAGGGGGAAAAAAAGAAGAAUCAUCAAAUGCUAUUUAAACAAAUACACUGGAAACAACAAAAGAGUGAACUUGAAGUUAAACAUUACAGCUUUGGGAAUUUACUGUAUGUAUUGUGGUUUACGUCUGUAGAAGAAUUAUCAUUUAAAGAUGGCACCGUAUGGUAAGGGGUUGAAGAAUACCUUCGGCUACCUUUCCACUUAGGAGGUAAGAGGGGUCUUGCGGAACAUGACCCAAG